CGGCGUGAACGUAACCUGUCCGUUGGGAGGUGGGGAAUAACACAGUCGAAAGAUGUGCUAAUACCGCAUAAUGCAGUUGGGCCGCAUGGCUCUGACUGCCAAAGAUUUAUCGCUCUGAGAUGGACUCGCGUCUGAUUAGCUGGUUGGCGGGGUAACGGCCCACCAAGGCGACGAUCGGUAGCCGGACUGAGAGGUUGACCGGCCACAUUGGGACUGAGACACGGCCCAGACUCCUACGGAAGGCAGCAG
rnacentral:rRNA from 1 species